AAAGAAGCCACCUUCCUAGUGAAGUUUUACCCAACAGCCCUAUGAACAUGGCCACUGCGAUGAUUCGCAGAAUGCCAAUUAAUGACUUUGAGCCAAUUUUUACUCCAAAGUGAGCUGGCUUCACCGACGACCAAAACGUUUUUCUCUGUUCGAUCUCGUCAGCGCUCUCAUUAACACCAGGAAGACCUUGGGGGUUUUCAGCAAGAGUGGAGAGUGUUCUCCGAACUACAGUGGAAUCAGCUGAUGGUAAUCUUACUGCCCAAAGGCCUAUCUCCUUCUUGUGUUCGAUAGUAGAUCCUUUAGAAGGAGGAGGACCAGGAAUCUUAGGCCGAGGUCUUCUGGGCCUCGAACGCCUCAAUUGCAAUAACUGGUCGGCAUUAGCAACACCCAAAACAGCGGACUCAAAAGUCCCAACGUUCCCAACUAUUUUUCUCUUCGAUUCCAAGCUCACAUACGCUUCGAUCCGAUUCGGCGCCGAUUGUCCGACCCACUGCCUCGAAUUGAACAUCAAACCCAAUUCAGCAGGAACCGAGUCGAACCCACAAGCCGAAACCACCAAAGCCCCACUCUGAACCCCCCUCUCAUGAUAAUUAGCUUCCAUUUUCUCCAUGAACUCCGG
rnacentral:misc_RNA from 1 species